UCAUUAAAUCAGUUAUCGUUUAUUUGAUAGUUCCUUUACUACAUGGUAUAACUGUGGUAAUUCUAGAGCUAAUACAUGCUUAAAAUCUCGACCCUUUGGAAGAGAUGUAUUUAUUAGAUAAAAAAUCAAUGUCUUCGGACUCUUUGAUGAUUCAUAAUAACUUUUCGAAUCGCAUGGCCUUGUGCUGGCGAUGGUUCAUUCAAAUUUCUGCCCUAUCAACUUUCGAUGGUAGGAUAGUGGCCUACCAUGGUUUCAACGGGUAACGGGGAAUAAGGGUUCGAUUCCGGAGAGGGAGCCUGAGAAACGGCUACCACAU
rnacentral:rRNA from 1 species